rnacentral:sRNA from 2 species
GGGGCUGUGUGCAGCCCUCGAGCCCAUCCUCAGUGCCAAGACCAAGGAGGAGAUGGCAUCUGCCCUGGUGCACAUCCUGCAGAGCACGGGCAAGGUGAAGGACUUCCUGACAGACCUGAUGAUGUCAGAGGUGGACCGCUGCGGGGACAACGAGCACCUCAUCUUCCGGGAGAACACACUGGCCACCAAGGCCAUUGAGGAGUACCUCAAGCUAGUGGGCCAGAAGUACCUGCAGGACGCCCUAGGUGAGUUCAUCAAAGCGCUGUAUGAGUCAGAUGAGAACUGCGAAGUGGAUCCCAGCAAGUGCUCGGCCGCUGACCUCCCAGAGCACCAGGGCAACCUCAAGAUGUGCUGCGAGCUGGCCUUCUGCAAGAUCAUCAACUCCUACUGAUUUGGCAGCAAGGAGGAAUACAUGUCCUUCAUGAACCAGUUCCUAGAGCAUGAGUGGACCAACAUGCAGCGCUUCCUGCUGGAGAUCUCCAACC